UGAUAGCUAAAGAGCAGCCUUAGAGUAUGAAAUCAGCUCAACACCAUUUUCUUAUUGCCCCUGAGAGUUAAGCACCUCACUUUUCGAAAACCCAGCCCAUUUCACUCACAGCAGGCAUGGCAGG
rfam:Sarcophilus harrisii ctg7180002196729, whole genome shotgun sequence.